UCAUCAUUUAAGGUCGGGACAUUCUCUA
rnacentral:sRNA from 1 species